rnacentral:tRNA from 1 species
GCCUGGGUGGCUCAGUCGUUUGAGCGGCUGACUUCGGCUCAGGUCAUGAUCUCGCGGUCCGUGAGUUCGAGCCCCACAUCGGGCU